UGAAAAAGGAAUUUCCCUUCAAGACUAGCUUUCUUAACAAAACUGAAAAUUCUCAAAAAUCUGAAACCAUAAUACAAUAUCUUCCCUUCUUCAGUCCAGCAUACUCAAUUGAUGCAGCUCAUCUUAACACAAACUCUGCAACAACAUCUCACAGCACUGAUCAGUCUAAGAAAUCUGAUGAUAUGACAACAAAAGUAAAUAAAAAUGGAGGUGAAGGAUCAUGUGAUGAGCGGGUUCCAAGUGAAAAUCAAGAUGACAUUGAUAAUGAUCAAAUGAAACAUAGUGAGGUAGAUGAUGAUCGGAGAAUGGUAGAAUUGGGUAAACAGGUCAUAGAACAUCCUAUGACUACAAGAAGCAAAGGUGGUAUCUUUAAACCAAAAGUCUACUCAACUCAAUGUUGGGAGUACCAACUGAACACAGAAGAACCCAACAAUUUAUUUGAAGCUCUGUCAAGUAAACAGUGGAAAGAAGCAAUAGAGGAUGAAUGCAAGGCAUUGUUGAGGAAUGGGACCUGAAAACUAGUACCAACACUUGUUGAUCAGAAGGUGAUAGGAAACAAAUGGGUGUUUAGAACCAAAAAGAACAUUGAAGGGAAUGUAAGCCAGGUUGGUAGCUAAAGGUUUUUUGCAAACCCCAGGUGUUGAUUUUUAUGAGACCUUUAGCCCAGUGAGAAAACCCUCUACCCUAAGAAUAAUACUUACACUGGCAAUUUGGAAAGGGUAUUAGACAUGUUGACAUAAAUAAUGCUUUCCUAAAUGGAAAGCUAGAAGAAGAAGUGUACAUGAGCCAACCGGAAGGAUUUGUUGACAAGGCUAGUCUCACGUUUGUGUGCAAACUUGAGAAAGCGCUUUAUGGGCUUAAACAAGCACCCAGAGCAUGGUAUGAGAAAUUGAAGGAAACACUUCUAAAAUGGAAAUUUAUGAAGUCCAAAGCUGAAAUUCUGUAUUGUUUUACAUGAAUCAAGAACAACUCAUUUUUGCCUUAGUCUAUGUUGAUGACAUAGUAAUUACUGGAAAUGAUAAUAAAUUGUUGCAGUGCUUCAUUGACAAAUUAAACACUCAAUUUGCACUUAAGGACAUAGGUGAGUUACAUCAAUUUUUGGGAAUUGAAGUAAGUAGAUUUGAAACAGGGGUGCACCCUACUCAGAUCAAGUACACAAAAGACUUGUUGAAGAGGUUCAACUUUGAGAACCUCAAACCUUGUUCUAUUCCUAUGACAGUAGACAAGUAUAUUUCCAAAAAUGAGGGUAAAAAGAUGGUAAAUCCUUCCCUAUAUAGAGGUGCAAUAGGAGGAUUGCAACAUUUAGCACAUACAAAGCCUGACAUAACCUUUGAUGUGAACAAAAUGAGCCAAUUUUUGCAGGCACCUUCAAAUGUACACUGGAAGGCAAUAAAAAGGAUCUUCAUAUAUCUAAAAUGAACAAUUGAGCAAGGCCUUUGGAUGUAAAGAAGUGAUAGAAUACAAAUAACUAGAUUUUUGAUGCAGAUUGCUACUGUGUUUACUUGGGAGAUACUUUAGUUGUUCUUCCAAAAAGCAACAAGUUGUGGCAAGGUCCAACACUAAAUCAGAAUACAAAGCUCUAGCACGUGCAACUGCUAAAAUAGUUUGGAUAGAAUCAUUGCUCAAGGAAGUCAAACUAUAUCCUGGAUUAGUUCCCAUACUAUGGUGUGACAACCUCAGUGCAAGUGCAUUAGCCUCAAAUCUUGUCUAUCAUGCACGAACAAAGCAUAUUGAGCUCGAUAUACAUUUUGUCAGGGACAGAGUUCUUGAGAAGAAGUUAAGUAUACAAUAUGUUCCAUCUUCAGACCAAAUAGCAGAUUUGUUAACUGAGCCUCUUACACAAAUCAGAUUCCUAUUUCUUAAAGACAAGCUUGGAGUCAAGUAGUAAACUCUAGCUUGAGAGAGGAUGUUGAAAUACAAUUCAAACAAGCACACGUGAUUGAUUCAGCAAGUCGACAGCUA
rnacentral:lncRNA from 1 species